rnacentral:rRNA from 1 species
UCGAGAAUCUUCCACAAUGGACGAAAGUCUGAUGGAGCGACGCCGCGUGAUUGAUGAAGUCCCUCUGGGACGUAAAGAUCUUUUAUGAGGGAAGAAGUUUAUUGACUGUACCUCAUGAAUAAGAGGCUCCUAAUCUCGUGCCAGCAGGAGCGGUAAUACGAGAGCCUCGAGCGUUAUCCGGAAUUAUUGGGCGUAAAGGGUGCGUAGGUUGCGAUGUUAGUCUUUUGUUAAAACUCCCGGCUUAACCGGGAAGACGCGAAAGAUACGGCAUUGCUUGAAAGUGCAAGGGGUGUACGGAACUCAUGGUGUAGGGGUGAAAUCCGUUGAUAUCAUGGGGAACACCAAAAGCGAAAGCAGUACACUGGUGCAUAUUUGACACUGAAGCACGAAAGCGUGGGUAGCGAAUGGGAUUAGAUACCCGCGUAGUCC